GACGAACGCUGGCGGCGUGCUUAACACAUGCAAGUCGAACGGAAAGGCCCUGCUUUUGUGGGGUGCUCGAGUGGCGAACGGGUGAGUAACACGUGAGUAACCUGCCCUUGACUUUGGGAUAACUUCAGGAAACUGGGGCUAAUACCGGAUAGGAGCUCCUGCUGCAUGGUGAGGGUUGGAAAGUUUCGGCGGUUGGGGAUGGACUCGCGGCUUAUCAGCUUGUUGGUGGGGUAGUGGCUUACCAAGGCUUUGACGGGUAGCCGGCCUGAGAGGGUGACCGGCCACAUUGGGACUGAGAUACGGCCCAGACUCCUACGGGAGGCAGCAGUGGGGAAUAUUGCACAAUGGGCGGAAGCCUGAUGCAGCAACGCCGCGUGCGGGAUGACGGCCUUCGGGUUGUAAACCGCUUUCGCCUGUGACGAAGCGUGAGUGACGGUAAUGGGUAAAGAAGCACCGGCUAACUACGUGCCAGCAGCCGCGGUGAUACGUAGGGUGCGAGCGUUGUCCGGAUUUAUUGGGCGUAAAGGGCUCGUAGGUGGUUGAUCGCGUCGGAAGUGUAAUCUUGGGGCUUAACCCUGAGCGUGCUUUCGAUACGGGUUGACUUGAGGAAGGUAGGGGAGAAUGGAAUUCCUGGUGGAGCGGUGGAAUGCGCAGAUAUCAGGAGGAACACCAGUGGCGAAGGCGGUUCUCUGGGCCUUUCCUGACGCUGAGGAGCGAAAGCGUGGGGAGCGAACAGGCUUAGAUACCCUGGUAGUCCACGCUGUAAACGGUGGGUACUAGGUGUGGGGUCCAUUCCACGGGUUCCGUGCCGUAGCUAACGCUUUAAGUACCCCGCCUGGGGAGUACGGCCGCAAGGCUAAAACUCAAAGGAAUUGACGGGGCCCCGCACAAGCGGCGGAGCAUGCGGAUUAAUUCGAUGCAACGCGUAGAACCUUACCUGGGUUUGACAUGGAUCGGGAGUGCUCAGAGAUGGGUGUGCCUCUUUUGGGGUCGGUUCACAGGUGGUGCAUGGCUGUCGUCAGCUCGUGUCGUGAGAUGUUGGGUUAAGUCCCGCAACGAGCGCAACCCUUGUUCACUGUUGCCAGCACGUUAUGGUGGGGACUCAGUGGAGACCGCCGGGGUCAACUCGGAGGAAGGUGGGGAUGACGUCAAGUCAUCAUGCCCCUUAUGUCCAGGGCUUCACGCAUGCUACAAUGGCUGGUACAGAGAGUGGCGAGCCUGUGAGGGUGAGCGAAUCUCGGAAAGCCGGUCUCAGUUCGGAUUGGGGUCUGCAACUCGACCUCAUGAAGUCGGAGUCGCUAGUAAUCGCAGAUCAGCAGCGCUGCGGUGAAUACGUUCCCGGG
rnacentral:rRNA from 1 species